rnacentral:ncRNA from 1 species
ACGCUUCCCGCAUGUUCCGCUGACACCCGUCAGCAGCAUGCCCAGGUAGCCACGAUCUUCAAGGCUACGGCGCGGUUCCGACCGCGUUGAUCACACCAGUUCGCUCCGGCAUCCCAGCGCGAACGGCCAUCGGUUCUCCCGAUGGUGAUGC